rnacentral:rRNA from 1 species
CCUACGGGCGGCAGCAGUGGGGAAUAUUGGACAAUGGGGGGAACCCUGAUCCAGCGACGCCGCGUGAGUGAAGAAGUAUUUCGGUAUGUAAAGCUCUAUCAGCAGGGAAGAAAGAAAUGACGGUACCUGACUAAGAAGCCCCGGCUAACUACGUGCCAGCAGCCGCGGGAAUACGUAGGGGGCAAGCGUUAUCCGGAUUUACUGGGUGUAAAGGGAGCGUAGACGGCGAUGCAAGUCUGAAGUGAAAGGCGGGGGCCCAACCCCUGGACUGCUUUGGAAACUGUAUGGCUGGAGUGCAGGAGAGGUAAGUGGAAUUCCUAGUGUAGCGGUGAAAUGCGUAGAUAUUAGGAGGAACACCAGUGGCGAAGGCGGCUCACUGGACUGUAACUGACGUUGAGGCUCGAAAGCGUGGGGAGCAAACAGGAUUAGAUACCCUGGUAGUC